rnacentral:misc_RNA from 1 species
UACGGAGGGUGCGAGCGUUAAUCGGAAUUACUGGGCGUAAAGGGCGCGUAGGCGGCGUGAUAAGCCGGUUGUGAAAGCCCCGGGCUCAACCUCGGAACGGCAGCCGGAACUGUCACGCUAGAGUGCAGUAGAGGGAGGUAGAAUUCCCGGUGUAGCGGUGAAAUGCGUAGAGAUCGGGAGGAAUACCAGUGGCGAAGGCGGGCUUCUGGACUGACACUGACGCUGAGGUGCGAAAGGGUGGGUAGCAAACAGG